rnacentral:lncRNA from 1 species
AUGACUAAACGCACCAAGAAGGUCGGCAUCAUCGGCAAGUACGGGACCCGCUAAGGUGCUUCCCUCCAGAAAAUGGUGAAGAAAAUUGAAAUCAGCCAGCGCGCCAAGUACACUUGCUCCUUCUGUGGCAAGACCAAGAGGAAGAGACAAGACGAGCCGUCGGCAUCUGGCACUGUGGUUCCUGCACGAAAACAGUGGCCGCCGGGGCCUGAACCUACAACACCACCUCUGCAGUCACAGUGAAGUCUGCCAUCAGAAGAGAAGGAACUGAAAGACCAGUAG